CGCAUAUUGCGCCCAUUAGUAUUCUAGUGGGCAUGCCUAUUCGAGCGUCAUUUCGACCCCUAAGCCCCUGUUGCUUAGCGUUGGGAAUCUACGGCGUAGUUCCUUAAAGUUAGUGGCGGAGUUAGGGUACACUCUCAGCGUAGUAAUAUCUCUCGCUCGUGUGGUGGCCCUGGCUGCUAGCCGUUAAAACCCCUAUAUUUUCUAGUGGUUGACCUCGGAUUAGGUAGGAAUACCCGCUGAACUUAA
rnacentral:misc_RNA from 1 species